GGGGUUGUGGCUCAGUGGCAGAGCGUUUGCCUUGCAUGCGUGAGGCACUGGGUUCGAUCCUCAGCACCA
rnacentral:tRNA from 1 species